UUAGAGGGGAAAGAGAAAUAUUACUGCAGCCCCAAUGAGCUGCACUGGAGAACAAAUGGGUGACUGGUAGACGAAUCUUGACCGACAGGGAAAUGCAACAGGCCCUGCAGGGAACCUGAAGGGUCAAGUUAAUCACCAGCUUUGAGCUGAUGUUUCCCCACCAAGCUGGGCUGGCAGACUUCAGGCUUUUCAACUCCUCUGUAGCAGGAAGAGGAUGACAGAAUAAAACCAAGCGUUGCAGCUUGGGUGCUCAGACCCUCCAGGGCGCAUCAAGUGUGAGCAAGUGAGAAGGAUAUGGAGACUUGUCUGCCUGUCGCGGCUCCUGCAGGGAGAGGCUCCAGCUUGGUUUCACGUGUGGGAAAGUUUAGUUAUAAAAUAAUUAAGCAAUCGUCUUCUAUUUCUGCGCGUUACAACUGGUAACUUUGUACGACUCGAGGAAAAGUAGGUUUCUUGCAUCUUUAGAACGUGAGUAACUAGGAAAUCCUGGCAAGACAGCAGACUGGGUCGGGAUCACUGCUUAGGCUGAAUAACGACUACCGCUAGCAGCAUCCAAACAAAACGCAGAGCCGAGAUCUGAAAUCUGCCCUUUACCAGGCAUUAUAUCCUGCAGCUGCUUGACCAGAUCAGACAAUCAGGAAAAAAUAAAUGCCAUCAUAUAAUAAAAUGUCUUGCUAAGACACAAUCUGAAAAGCUAUAUUACUGCUCUCACUGGGUAGCUAUAUUUUAUUGUAACUUCAUAUUUCAUUCUUUUUAUGCAUUUUUCUUUAAUCAUAACAAUAUUAAAUAGCUUGUCUAAAAUAGAAACAUAAAAUAGUUACUGUCCUAAACUGAGGGUGACUCGAAAAUCCUGGAGCAUAAAGUCUUCCUUUUCCUCAGACAAAAUGGAUUAUGAAACAGCACCUUUUUCGCGCUGUUUGUCGCCUGUAAGCUUCAGCUCUGAUGCGAGCAGAAACACCUUGCUGGUGCGCUGCGGGCCACUGGGGCAAGCUUUAAUAUUAUGAUAGACCAAGAUUAUCAGUCUGGAUGCUAAUCAGUGUUACAUGUGACUACAGAACUGCCUAUGGGGUAACAACAGGAAAAAAGCCACCCCGUUAUUUUCUGGGGGCACCAAUGAUACUAUAACCCUUUCGGUAACCGUUGCUCUCUGCAGGCUUGACUCCGCUGUGCCGAGGUGCCCAUUUCCCCCGGAAGGAGAGGCUGUGCCUCCCGCAUGGAGCAAACCUGGAGCACGCACGCUGCCGGGCUCGGGACACGGCGCCCGUGGUUCUGGGGACACCCAGAUGAAUAUGGGUAAGCUGCUACAUGACGCUCAUUGCAGUAAUAGCUGUGAUGUCUACAAGAAAGUGUCUCGCAUUCAACUAAUGGUUUCCUGGACUCUGCGUGUACAAAGAAUUAUAAUUCUUGCUGUCAUCACAUCUACCACGAACGCAGAGCAAAGCACGCGCUGGGGCCAUGAACUAGCCACAGCUUUGGAAAAGGCACCGUGAGGAAGCCAAGGGCUGGGUGCUGCUACCCUCCCCGAUCAGUCACACUUCUCUGGAGCCUGUCCCUGCGGUGUCCGAGCCACCACCAGCUACACAAGAACAUCACCGUUUUACUGACCUGUCAGGGGAAAGAAAUACUGUGUUCGAGGUCAAAUGGAAAGUCUACGGCGAGGCAAAGAAUUGAGCCGAGGUCUCCCAAGUACCAAGCCUUUCCUCUGGCUACAUGUCCCUUCUUACCUGGGCAGCCUCAUGCAUUUCAGUGGAUCUUUUAAACAAACGAGACACCCCCGGUGAAAACAUGACAGAGAGAGAACCAAAGGCUGGGUUAAGAACACACAAUACUGAUGGCAAUACUAUGCUGGCUGAUAAUGGUAAC